rfam:Schistosoma mansoni, Puerto Rico, WGS project CABG01000000 data, contig: 0010
ACCCAGCUGACGAGUCCCUAAUAGGACGAAACGCGCGUCCUGGAU